UUUAUUUGAGAGUUUGAUCCUGGCUCAGGAUGAACGCUGGCGGCGUGCCUAACACAUGCAAGUUGAGCGAUUUACUUCGGUAAAGAGCGGCGGACGGGUGAGUAACGCGUGGGUAACCUACCCUGUACACACGGAUAACAUACCGAAAGGUAUGCUAAUACGGGAUAAUAUAUUUGAGAGGCAUCUCUUAAAUAUCAAAGGUGAGCUAGUACAGGAUGGACCCGCGUCUGAUUAGCUAGUUGGUAAGGUAACGGCUUACCAAGGCGACGAUCAGUAGCCGACCUGAGAGGGUGAUCGGCCACAUUGGAACUGAGACACGGUCCAAACUC
rnacentral:rRNA from 1 species